rnacentral:rRNA from 1 species
UACGUAGGGCGCAAGCGUUGUCCGGAAUUAUUGGGGCGUAAAGAGCUCGUAGGCGGCUUGUCACGUCGGUUGUGAAAGCCCGGGGCUUAACCCCGGGUCUGCAGUUGAUACGGGCAGGCUAGAGUGUGGUAGGGGAGAUCGGAAUUCCUGGUGUAGCGGUGAAAUGCGCAGAUAUCAGGAGGAACACCGGUGGCGAAGGCGGAUCUCUGGGCCAUUACUGACGCUGAGGAGCGAAAGCGUGGGGAGCGAACAGG